rnacentral:lncRNA from 1 species
GUGUUUGAGGUUUUUAUUUGCAAAAAAUGUGUUUGGUAAUGAAUUUUUUAUCUAUUUAGAAUGGUCUGGGUAAGAACGGAUUAUAUAUAAAAAGAUUUAAUUUGAUUGCUAAGAUGAUUAUUUCUAUAUUAAAGAAUUUGGCAUCUAACAUAUUUGAUUUGUUGUACGCGUCUUAGAUGGGUGUUGUUGGUAACAUUUGAUUGUCUAACCAUGAUACUAAAGCUUAUUAGAGAAAAAUAAUGCAAGUUGUCGGGAAAAUGGACAUUUAAUUCCUCAAACUUUUUGAAAUCAACAAUUUAAAUACCGAACUAUUGCUCGCGCGAUUUUAUGCCCCAACUAUUUGUUGACUCGGCAAAUUAAUGACUCAAAAAUUCAGCUGUUAAGUGUUAAACGUUUGUCGUUAGUUUUAAUUUCCCUCACUUACAACAUAACUCGAAAUCUCCAAAUUUGGAACCCUAAUUUCGAGAGAAGGUGAUUCCGGCGACGAUAGAGGCGAUUUCCGGCGAGAUAAGAGAGCAAAUCCGGCGACGUGAUGAAGAGCUUCGAGAAAAACAAGAAACUUUGCCUUGAAACAACUCAAAUUUCUUCUGGAUCAAAAUAUGUAAGUCAUAUGUUCUUUACAUUUGUUUUGAAGAAUCGAGUGACUGGUGAGAAUGAAAGGUGUAUGUAGCAGAUAGAUUUCGAACUUUGCCGUUGGUGGUUAUGUCUUUAGGAGGAGUUAGGUCCAGUAUGUAUGAGCGAUUCAUAUAGUUGUGGGAUCGUGUAUGGAGAGACAGGAUAUCCAAAAAAAUGUGUUUGUGGAAGUUCGGUUAAGAUCUUUACAUCAAAGUCCAUAGCUAAUCCAGGACGUCCUUAUUUCCGGUGUACUUCUUCCCGAGCGGGAAGAUUUACUAGACUACUUAUUCUCAUGUGUUAACCAUUGAUAACUUUCUUCAUCUUUAUCUUCAUAUGUGUAUUUCAGGAUGGGCACUUGUUCAAGUGGGUUGAAGAUGGAACACAUGAAGAAGUAAAUGAGCUGAAGCUUGAAGGGACGUUUUUAAUAAAUGAUCUCAAGCUUCAGAUCGAGAACUUGAAAGAAGAAAUUCAAGGAUGCAAAAACGAGAUGAAAAAUUUCAAAAGAAAGAUAAUUUGUGCAUUUUGGUGGCUUGUGUGUUGUGGCCAUUGUUGUCUUCUGUGAAAAAAUGUUUGACCAAGUUGAAAGUUCACUUGUGUUUGGUAAGAAGAAAAUUUAAGAGAAUGUAAGAGAAUAUGUAUGAAAAUGUAACACAAUUUAUGUGUUUGAUAGUAAGAGAAUAUGUAUGAAAAUGUAAGACAAUUUAUGUGUUUUAAACAAGAUUUUGAGUAAUAUUUGUUGAGCAUAGACUUAUCGCCACUUGCUAGUUUUCAAUACUUAAAGUUUUUCAUAAACUUGAUUUUAGAUUGGGGCUUGAGUUUACAAAAAGAGUUACCCAUCCAUACAUAUCCGAGACUUAAAAUCCUACAUCACCAAAUGACAAACCCAAGAAAAUCUAAAACGACAAGCCAAACAACAUCCUUACACACCAAAUAGGAAAAAAACAUCAACAUAGCAUAAACAUGAAGACCACAUCUGCACUUGGUUAUGUAGAGAACCCAAACCCUUCUUGUGUUCCUCCUUGUGAUGGUUGAGAAGGUGGAAUUUGUGAUGAUCCUUGAGUAGCUCCUGGCUGCAAGUUUGAAGACCCUCCCUACAUUAAAUAAGCACCAAAUGUCAGUAAACAAAGCCAUUAAAAAAAGCAAGUAAGCCAUUUCAAACAUAUUCUUUCCAUGGGCGACCUCUAGGACGUUUUGGUGGAGGGGCUGCGGCUGGAUUAGGACACCUAGUCUUGUUAUGGCCUUCCUUCCUACAGUUUGAGCAAGUAGGAACUCGGCCAUGGCGGGUAAGCUUGUGUGGAUUAGAAGAAGACUCAUGAGGAGCUUUCUUUCUAGAAUGAUCGUUAGGUCUCCCACGGUUGAAGUGUGGGGGUGGUGGAAGAAUAGGGAGCCGACCUAAUCUUGGCCACGAUUGCAUCCCUUGAACUGGCUUCAUACCUUCUGCAUAUAGCUUGCGCCAUUUUGAAGUCAAGUAGAAAUCAGAGACAUAAUCAUUAAGAUCUAAUCUUGUGUUCGUGAUGACACACAUAGCAUGCAUACAAGGCAAACCAUUCAACUGCCAGUAGCCACAACCGCAUGUUUUCUCAGCCAUGUUGACGGUGUAUGCAUCAUUGUGAUACUCAAUCUCAUGCACCUGGCCAGUGGUCAUAUAUCUAAUGCAAUCCUUAGCGCUUUGCCGGUUAAGCUCAAUCUCCUUAUCUGCUCUUGGCGUAAACCGUUUAUUCCACUUGUUGGUCAAAAUGGUUCUCUUUGCGUUUCUCACCAUGGUCUUUCUCCGAACCUCUGUCAGCAUAUCAAGAGGAGGUUUCCUUCUAGACUCCCUAGCACUUCUAUUGAAUGAUUUUGACAGGUUGUUUAGGUUGUCAUUGCAGCAUGAUCCAAGCUUGAAGAAUGCACGAGACCAUGUCAUCGGUCCAGUAGACUGCAGAGAGUGAUAAGCUCCUUCAUUGUAGGUCUUAAGAGCCUCUAAGUUGGUCGUAAACAUUGCUGGUGUGUAGAUUCGUGCAAUUUUCCAGAAUAGACGUUCAAGGACAAUGUCUUUAUUUGUCUUCUUCCAGUUUUGUAGAACAUGUCUAGCACACAUUCUGUGUUCGGCCUGUGGAAGCUCUUCGUGUACUGCAUGUAAUAUUCCAUGUACAAAUGAACAAUCAAGGCUAAAUACACCAGAGAAGUCUUAAUAUAUUCAUAAAGAAAUGAUGAACAUACCUGAUGCUUGUUUGAGAUUAUUGUUAUAGCGUCGCCAUCUUCAAGACCCAUGUCUUUUUUCAGUAGUUGCACAAACCAUAACCAAUUUGGAUUAUCCUGAACUUCUACCACAUCCUAAGCUAUUGGAAAAACUCUAUUAUCCCCAUCCCUACCAACAGCAGCUAGCAUUGGACCUUUAAUGUCCCAUUUCAUAAAUGCAGCAUCCAAUCCUAUAAUGGGUCUACAUGAGCCUUUCCAUGACGUUUUCAAGGCUUCAAAACACAUAUACAAGCGGUGAAAUCUUUGAUUGCUUCCAGGAACCGGACCAGGAAUUGUCUCAACUUCCAUUGUUGAUCCUACAUUAGAUUUACGUACCUCUUCCUGGUAAUCCCAAAGUCUUGCAAAGUAAAUUUCAUGACCCGCCUUUCUUCUGGCAGCAAGUGUUGCCUUUGCUCUUCUGCAUUGUUCUUCGGUCACAAUCAUAUUAUACUCUCUCUUUAUCUCAUCAACCAUCUCCUUCGAUCUGAUUUUAGGAUUGAUUUGAAGUCUCUCCUCAAAUAAUUGUGCUAUUGUUCCACAGUUAAGCAGCUUCGUAUAACCAGACCUAACACAAAUAUGUGUAACACUUUAACCAUCAGCUUGUUCCUGCCUUUUUCGAAAGAACAGUACACUCUCCAACCACAUUUUUCUUUUUCAUGUUGUGUGCACCAAACUCCAAGCCUAUUAGCUGAGGAAUUAUAGAACUUUAUGUCAUAUUGCGUCUUGAGAGAAUGCAUGAGAACAGCAAACUUAAACCUCUUAACCUCCUGUCCUAAACGAACAGUCUUCCUCUCACGUUCUAAACAAAAAAAAACACAUAUCAAUAAGAAGAAUCAGUAAAUUCUAUAAAAAAAAAAUCAACUGAAUUUACCUUUCAAUUUUAGUUGCAGGUUGAACUUCAGGAACUCUUGGCACAUCGGGAAUUUCGGGAACUUGAGCGACACUGGAAACAUCAGGAACUAUGGGAUUCGAGGCUCCCCUUCGAAUUGGAAACGUAUUCCUCCAUCUCCCUCUCCUUCCGGUGAAUGUUUUCACCAUUAUCUCGCCGGAAAUCGCCUACGUGUUCUCUGGAAUUGCCUAUGUUGUCGCCUCUUUCGAAAUUAGGGUUCUAAAUUUGGAAUUUUGUGUUAUGUCGUAAGUGAAUGAAUUAAAAAUAAACAAACGUUAAUAACUUAACUGCUGACUUAAUUAAUCCCUAAUUAGUCAAGUCAACUAAUACUUGGGGCAUUAAAUCGCGCAAGCAAUAGUUUGGUAUUUAAAUUGCCGAUUUGAAAUAGAUGAGGAAUUAAAUGUCUUUUUUUCCCGCAAGUUGUCCCAUAAACAUGUAUUUUUGUGCUGAUGGUUUUUCUUAUGUUUGUGUUGCACUGUCUUCUGCUUAAAGUUAGCGUCUACAGUUUCAUAAGGGUAAGAAACCUUAGAAUGUUUUAGAAUUUUUUACUCUUUAAAACACUUUUCGUCUUUCAAAUUACACAAUAGGUCACUUGUUGCUGGAAGCACACUUUCUCUUUGUGCAAUAUCCUAUAUGCCCUCAACCCUUCUUAACUAAGCUGUCACUUUCCCUUCUUUAAAAAAAAAAAACUGAUUAAUCAGUUUCUGAUUUUUGAGUUUUCAAAAACCAACCUAUAUUCUCUCUCCAACUUUACUUUUUCAGAUUCAGAUUUACUUUCCCCAAUUUGACGGUCCCUUCGGUUACUAACCCUAAUUCCGUGAACCCUCUUCUUCUUCAUCUUCAAUUUCUCCAUAGAACACCGUGAAACAGAGGUCCACCGCGAUUUUGAUUGUGUAAUCUCAUCUACACAGACUUGGGAACUCUUGAGAAUCCUCCACCGAGAUAUAUAUGUACGACAGUCUGGUUCUGUGGCUCUCCCUUGGACGAAUCUCUCUAUUGUGCUGUGUCUUGAUUGGAUUCAGCUUAGUUCCUACUGAUGAAACCAAUCUCCAUAGCAAAGGUAAACAUUAAUCUGAUAUACGGCGCGUAAUUGUCGAAGUUCUCUCCUCAAAUACACUCCCAAAUUGAUUUUUUUUUUUUUUUUGUUUUGGAAAUUCCGUUCAAUAACACAAACCAUAAACGAAAAGUUUGAGAUGAAAUCAUGAGGAAGUUGAGAAGUGGGGAGGAAAUCAAGAAGGAUUUGAGAGUUUGAGACAAGCAAAAGGUGGACUGAGUUCGUUGAUUGUCUCUGUUUCUCGAAAUCGUGGUAAGAUUCUUGUUUGUUUUCUUCACUCGUGAUUUUGUGUUCUGAGAAAUUGAUGUUCUGAAAAAUUGAGGAAAACGGGUUUGAGUUUAGUUUGUUUGAUGUGUUGUGUGCAUUUUCUCCAUGAAAAUAUGAACUAUCUUUUGGUUGAUAUCAUUGUAUUGUAUUGUUUGGUAUUGAAACACACGUGGUUGAUUUCUUUGUUUUUGUUUUAUCUAAUUUGAUGUUCGGUUGUUGUUUCGUCUUUGUAUAUGUCAUCGUCCUUGUGUUUCUAUGUCACUGUAUUUUACUGUGUUUUGUGUCUCGUUUGUGGUAUCAUGUAUGUGUGGUGUGGCAAAGAAAUUGCAGACAGUGUCACCUACCAACAAUGUUACCAAUCGUAUAACUUCUGAAAGUUUUUAUUGACUACAUGACAGGAUCCUUGAGGAGAGUUUAAGAGGUCAUAAAGCUCGAGAGUUGAUGCUGACACCUAGUGGUGUUUGUCUUUCAUAUUUUGUCCUUUAGUUUGGUUUUAGUCGUUGCCUCAAGACCUUUGUUCUUUCUCUUAAGUAAUAAAAACGUUUUCGUCUACAAAUUUUUAUCAACAGAUUCUGUCCAUGUCCACAAAUUUAAUCCAUGUCCAUGUCCACAGAUUUAGUCCAUGUCCACAUAUCCAUUUACUAUGUCCAUGUCCACAUAUUUGUUUUACGUAAAUGUUAAUAAAUAUAUAUGAAAUGGAUGUUAAGAGAUAGAAAAUCUUAUAAAUAGAUUAUUAUAAUAAUUCUAUUUAUUUUAUUU